rnacentral:rRNA from 1 species
GACGGGGGAUGCAAGUGUUAUCCGGAAUCACUGGGCGUAAAGCGUCUGCAGGUGGUUUCCUAAGUCCACUGUUAAACCUUGAGGCUCAACCUCAAAUCUGCAUUGGAAACUAGGAGACUUGAGUAUAGUAGGGGUAGAGGGAAUUUCCAGUGGAGCGGUGAAAUGCGUAGAUAUUGGAAGGAACACCGAUGGCGAAGGCACUCUACUGGGCUAUUACUGACACUCAGAGACGAAAGCUAGGGGAGCAAAUGGG